UACGGGGGGGGGCAAGCGUUGUUCGGAAUUACUGGGCGUAAAGGGCGCGUAGGCGGUUUGUUAAGUUGGAUGUGAAAACUGUGGGCUUAACCCAUAGCCUGCAUCCAAAACUAGCAGGCUAGAGUUCUGGAGGGGAUAGCGGAAUUCCUGGUGUAGCGGUGAAAUGCGCAGAUAUCAGGAGGAACACCGGUGGCGAAGGCGGGUCUCUGGGCCGAUACUGACGCUGAGGAGCGAAAGCGUGGGGAGCGAACAGG
rnacentral:rRNA from 1 species